rnacentral:misc_RNA from 1 species
AAGUCGUAACAAGGUCUCCGUUGGUGAACCAGCGGAGGGAUCAUUACUGAGUUCUACAAAACUCCCAACCCUUUGUGAAUUAUACCUUAGUUGCCUCGGCGUCGAGCGAGUCACCUACCCGGGAGCUACCCUGGAGUCACCUACCCUGUAGAACCUACCCUGUAGGACCUACCCUGUAGACGGCUACCCUGGAGCUACCCUGUAGUUGCACUUUCGCGUCGCCGGUGGACUACCAAACUCUUAUAUGUAUAGUGUAUCUCUGAAUUCUUAACAAAAUUAGUUAAAACUUUCAACAACGGAUCUCUUGGUUCUG